CGCGAGCGCUUUGCCUGUUCUGCCACGCAGACGCAGCCACUGGAGAAGAGAACUGAACUGAACUGCGCCUCCGGGGCGGCGGCUGUCGGUCUGCCACCGCCGCGGCGGUACCACCGGCGAGCGAGAAAAUGGCGGCCGACGAGAUAGCGAGCAGCAGCGGCCGCUGUUCCCGGUAUGGUGCCCGUUUGCGUCGCCAUCCGUCUUUGGGAUGAACUUUGCGAUAAGGAAGGUAUCCAGCGGAGGAGGAGCAUCGCCAAAAGGGGCGGGGCGCGACCCCCCGGCCUCACCGGGCGCGCCACUUCACCCUCGGUUUUUUCUGCCCCGACGGGCUUGGAAUCUCCCGUCGCUUUUUCCUUCCAGUAUACAAGUGCCCGCCUGCCGCCGCGGUGCCGUCGGCCGGGUCCUGUGCGCAUCGGCUGUUCGAUGAAUUGCCCGCAUGGCGACGAGGCUUCCUCGUGCUGGUCUCCUCGUCUUUGCGGUCCUUCUGGCCGCGUUCCGGCUGGCCGAUUCGUCAACAGACAAUAGUUCCUCCAAGGUCAGGGCGGUGAACCUGGGAGGCUGGCUGGUGGUGGAGGGGUGGAUCAAGCCCUCCUUGUUUGACGGCGUUCCAAACCGCGACAUGCUCGAUGGCACGCAGGUGCAGCUCAAGUCAGUGGGGCUUCAGAAGUACGUGUGUGCGGGCGAUGGUGGCGGCAGCAAUGUGACGGUGGACCGGGAUGCCGCUUCCUCAUGGGAGACCUUCAAGCUAUGGAGAAUUUCUAUGAAUGAAUUUCAGUUCCGCUGCUUCAAUGGUCAGUUCUUGACAGCAAGUGAUGGCGAUGUCAUCUCAGCGACAGCAGAUUCACCAGGGGACUUUGAAACAUUUUACAUCGAGAGGAACAAUACACUGCUUCAUAUCAAGCUUUUAAAUGGGAGUUAUUUGCAGGUCACAGACAAUAAUCAGCUUACUUCAAAUUACCCUUCCCAACCAGGAUGGGACGAUGCUAUGGCAACAUUUGAGAUGACAAUUGUUGCCAAUAACUUGCAUGGAGACUACCAGCUUGCCAAUGGAUAUGGGCCUGACAAGGCAAAGUCAGUCUUUGAAGAACACCGGAAGAACUUUGUGAGUGGAAGUGAUUUCUCUUUCAUCUCGCAGAAUGGUAUCAAUGCAGUCAGGAUUCCAGUUGGAUGGUGGAUUGCAUAUGAUCCUGAUCCACCUGCUCCAUUUAUUGGUGGUUCCCUGAAUGCCCUCGAUAGAGCAUUCCAUUGGGCACAGAUUUAUGGCUUGAAGUGCAUCAUUGAUCUCCACGCGGCUCCUGGAUCUCAAAAUGGAAUGGAGCACAGUGCUAGCAGAGAUGGUUCAGUAGAUUGGCCUUCGGAAGCUAACAUACAGAAAACAUUGGAUGUCAUUAAUUUUCUUGCUCAAAGAUAUGCAGACAAUCCCUGUCUCCUAGGUAUUGAGCUUUUGAAUGAACCUUCUGCAGCUGCAGUCCCACUAGACACUCUAGUGUCAUAUUACAAAACAGGCUACCAGAUUGUACGAAGUUAUUCAGACACUGCUUACGUCAUAUUCUGCCAGAGGAUUGGGAAUGCAGACCCAAUGGAGCUUUACCAGGCAUACCUGGGUGCAACUAACACGGUUGUAGACUUACAUUACUACAACCUCUUUGAUCCUUAUUUUGAAAAACUGAAUGCAACAGAGAACAUACAGUUCAUUUACAAGAACAGGCUGCCUCAAGUACAGUCCUUGAAUAGUGCAAAUGGACCUCUUGUUUUUAUCGAUUCAUUUAAUCAAAUUGGUUCUCACUCCCACUUUGGAAAGAUGCUUUCUCCGUUUCUUGUACCAGACGCUAUUUCCUCUUACUGUGUACCUCAUAGGUACACCUUUAUGCUAAUUUGUUUAACCCCUGGUGUUAUGAUAUUCAGGAGAGUGGGUAAAUGAAUGGAAUGUGACAAACGCUUCACAAGUCCAAUAUCAAUUGUUUGGAAACGCGCAAUUACAGGUCUACGGUGAAGCAUCCUUUGGCUGGUCUUAUUGGACAGUCAAGUGCAACAGUGUGCACUGGGACUAUGAAUGGAACAUAAGGAAUAGGUAUCUUAUUGGUGGUUCACUACUCAUAAGCCCAAACUACAUGUUGCUUGUGGGAGGAUGCCUCAUGUACCUUUUGUCCGCAUUGACAUGAUAGUAGAAACUUACCUACAGAAGGUAGUCUUGAUUGUCCCUACGCAAAGGAAGAUAGUCGGGUAGCGGCUCGCUAAAAAGUCUAUGCAAAGCGCUCCUAAAUCUAUGGACUACGGUUCAUUCGUUUCCCAUGUU